AGCGAACGCUGGCGGUAGGCUUAACACAUGCAAGUCGAACGGCAGAACAGUAAGAGCUUGCUCUUACGGGUGGCGAGGGGCGGACGGGUGAGGAAUACAUAGGCAUCUAUUUUUUCUGGGGGGAUACCGGAGGGAAACGUACGAUAAUACCGCAUACGAUCUACGGGUGAAAGCAGGGGAUCUUGGGAUCUUGCGCGUUUGAAUGAGCCUAUGUCGUAUUAGCUAGUUGGCGGGGUAAAGGCCCACCAAGGCGACGACCCGUAGCUGGCCUGAGAGGAUGAUAAGCCACACUAGAAGUGAGACGCGGACCAGGCGCCUGCGAGACGCAGCAGUGGGGAAUGUUGGGCAGUAGUCGCGAACCUUGUCCAGCCAGAGCGCGUGGGAGGAGGAGACCUUCGGUUUGUGAUGCCGUUUUUUUGGGAGAAAAAAGCAGCAGGUUAAGACCACGCUGUUCUGACGGUACCCAAAGAAGAAGCACCGGCUAACUUCGUG
rnacentral:rRNA from 1 species